rnacentral:rRNA from 1 species
CACGUAGGCACCAAGCGUUGUCCGGAUUUAUUGGGCGUAAAGAGCUCGUAGGCGGUUUGUCGCGUCGUCCGUGAAAACUUGGGGCUCAACCCCAAGCUUGCGGGCGAUACGGGCAGACUUGAGUACUGCAGGGGAGACUGGAAUUCCUGGUGUAGCGGUGAAAUGCGCAGAUAUCAGGAGGAACACCGGUGGCGAAGGCGGGUCUCUGGGCAGUAACUGACGCUGAGGAGCGAAAGCGUGGGUAGCAAACAGG